rnacentral:rRNA from 1 species
GAGUUUGAUCCUGGCUCAGAUUGAACGCUGGCGGCAUGCUUUACACAUGCAAGUCGAGCGGGGUGAGGGGGCAACCUCUCAUUCAGCGGCGGACGGGUGAGUAAUACAUCGGAACGUAUCCUGCAGUGGGGGACAACCCAGCGAAAGCUGGGCUAAUACCGCAUAUGCUCGGGAGAGGAAAGCAGGGGAUCGCAAGACCUUGUGCUGGAGGAGCGGCCGAUGUCCGAUUAGCUAGUU